UACGUAGGGUGCAAGCGUUGUCCGGAAUUAUUGGGCGUAAAGAGCUCGUAGGCGGUUUGUCGCGUCUGCUGUGAAACGCCGAGGCUCAACCUCGCGACCUGCAGUGGGUACGGGCAGACUAGAGUGCGGUAGGGGAGAUUGGAAUUCCUGGUGUAGCGGUGGAAUGCGCAGAUAUCGAGGAGGAACACCGGAUGGAGCGGAACGGCCGAGUCC
rnacentral:rRNA from 1 species